rnacentral:rRNA from 1 species
UGGGGAAUUUUGGACAAUGGGCGCAAGCCUGAUCCAGCAAUGCCGCGUGCAGGAUGAAGGCCUUCGGGUUGUAAACUGCUUUUGUACGGAACGAAAACGGCUCUGGCUAAUACCUGGGGCACAUGACGGUACCGUAAGAAUAAGCACCGGCUAACUACGUGCCAGCAGCCGCGGUAAUACGUAGGGUGCGAGCGUUAAUCGGAAUUACUGGGCGUAAAGCGUGCGCAGGCGGUUUUGUAAGACAGAGGUGAAAUCCCCGGGCUCAACCUGGGAACUGCCUUUGUGACUGCAAGGCUGGAGUGCGGCAGAGGGGGUAUGGAAUUCCGCGUGUAGCAGUGAAAUGCGUAGAUAUGCGGAGGAACACCGAUGGCGAAGGCAAUCCCCUGGG